ACGGGAGGCAGCAGUGGGGAAUAUUGCACAAUGGGGGAAACCCUGACCUGGCGACGCCGCGUGAAGGAUGAAGGUUUUCGGAUUGUAAACUUCUUUUAAGAGGGACGAUAGUGACGGUACCUCUUGAAUAAGCCACGGCUAACUACGUGCCAGCAGCCGCGGUAAUACGUAGGUGGCAAGCGUUGUCCGGAUUUACUGGGUGUAAAGGGCGAGUAGGCGGGAUUGCAAGUCAGAUGUGAAAUACCGAGGCUUAACUUCGGCACUGCAUUUGAAACUGUAAUUCUUGAGUGAUGGAGAGGCAGGCGGAAUUCCCGGUGUAGCGGUGAAAUGCAUAGAGAUCGGGAGGAACACCAGUGGCGAAGGCGGCCUGCUGGACAUUAACUGACGCUGAGGAGCGAAAGUGCGGGGAGCAAACAGGAUUAGAUACCCUGGUA
rnacentral:rRNA from 1 species